rnacentral:tRNA from 3 species
GGGCGCGUAGCUCAGCUGGUUAGAGCGCCUGCUUCACACGCAGGAGGUCCGGGGUUCGAGUCCCUGCGCGCCCACCA